CAGGCCUUAUUCCUAAAAUAAAAUCUCAAUUUCAGCUUCAAUUUUUUUGUAAGUUGUUGAAUAUGCAAUUUAAAAGAGAGGCCGUCAUCAAUUAAAAUCCCAAUAUAUUUAUGAGGUAACAACCUCAAUCUCCUUGCCAUUUUAUCUCCAAACGAGUUGAACAAAUUGUCUGAGAAGGUGUCCCGUCUGGAGAUCCAGCUGUAAAAUGAGGCUCGGCAGAAGCAGGAGGCCAUGGAGAAAGUGGAGACUUUCGAGAGGAGGGUUGCCGAACUGGAGAUGCAGUUAGAGAAGUUGCAAAUGCCCACUGAUGCACAGCUGGAAAACGAAGUUCAGCAGAACCAGGAGGCCAUGGAGAAAGGGGUGGUUUUUGAGAGCAGGGUUGCUGAACUAGAGAAGCGGAUAGAAGAAAAGUCACAAAUGCCUGCUGAUGCGCAGGAGGCCAUGGUGAAGGUGGUGACUUUUGAGAGGAGGGUUGCUGAACUGCAGAAGAUGCUAGAUUUCCACUGACUCACAGGAGCAGGUUGGCUAUCACCAAUGCCUUCUCACUGGUUUAUCGUGCAGAAUGUCAGAAAUCAUUUAAUCUAAAUGCAAAAAUGGUCCAACUGUCAUUCUUUACAGAUGAAAAGGGGAUUUGAGGAGACAAUUCAACUCUGAGACGUUGGUGUCUGAGAAGGAAAUGGCUGCUGCUGAGUGUGAUUAUCUCAAGCAGGAGCUCAACAUUCUAAUGGGAUGGACUAAAAACUUGAAGAAAAGGCUGCACUUCUUCAGGAGAUGGAGGAGAAGAAAGAGAUGGAUGAGUUCAAUUUUCUGGAAGAGGAGAGCAAAAGAGAACGAGAAAGAACUACUGAAUGAAAUGUCCUUAAAGAAGGCUGUGGAGGCAUCUAGAUGCAAAUCUCAAGAGCUUGAGGCUAAUCUGGUGGCAAUGUCAGAGGAGCUGAAAAAGAAAGAUGACUGGGCAGAGGAACUACAAAGAUCGAGUGACAUUGACUUGGUCCAACAAAUGAAGCAGCUGCGACGCACUCUGGACGAUGCUGAGGGACUGAGCUGUGACACUAAGAAGGAGUGGGCCCACCUGCGCAGUGAAAAUAUCUCACUCAAAGAGAGGGAUGUGUCUUCAACCUCAGUGUCAGUUUGCAGCCUGUAUUUAAAUGCAAACUGCGCUCAAUGGAUUGACCAUUAUCGUGUUGCAUUAGCUUUAACUCUAUGCCUUGGCCUAGCUUUCAUGUCACACUAACUGCUGGCUAUGAGAGGAUGGAAGCUGAGGGGAAUGGCCUUAGCUAUCAGUUGGAGACAGAAAAAUCACGCUUCAAAAAGAUGCAGGUUGACCUUCAGAGGGAGUUACAGGGAGCCUUUGAGGAGAACACCAAGCUUACUACUCUCCUGGAUGGAAAAGCUCCGAAAAAUCUCAUAGACAGCAUUGAACUUGAGAAAAAAAGUUACUGACCUGAAGAAAGAGCUGGAGAAGUCUCAUGAAGAUGAGAAAACCCUACAAGCUAAGAUCAAGGAUUUGAGUCCACUGCAGGAUCUUCCAGAUAAAGUGGACAGUUUGAUGAAGCAGGUAUAUGUCCUCAAUGAGGAGUUGUGUGCAGUCCAAAUAGCGAGGGAGAGCCUGGGUGUCUGCUAAGGAGGAAGCUCAGCAACUCAGAACAUUUCCAGAGCUCCCAGGAGCAGCAAGUCAAACUGCUAGAUGACCUGAGUGAAGCAAAGUUGAGGGAAAACGACCUAACCCAUCAGUAAAUCGACAUCACUGAACAACUGGAGACUCUCCGUAAGGACUUGGUGUGCUCGUCUGUGGAGAACAGUCAGCUUCUUACUACUGUGGAAGAGUCCAGCCUGAAAAUAAGGCAACUGUGAGGAGCUUGAGUCUGCGAUCUGAGUGAGAUAAUCUCCUGUCUGAGAAGACAGACAGUCCUCAGAAUCAUGCAGAGGAGUUGGUGCUCUCUACUGUGACCUCCCUGACUGAAGAGAGAGACCAGCUCCAGGAGAUACUGGGUGGAGUCAGAGAGGAGAGGAACCAGCUGAAGAGAGACCUGGAGGAGAAUGUGGAGAUGGUCCAGGCAGAGCUAAAACGGCAACAUCUGAACUCAGAACAGCAGACGUGGCCAACAAGAUGAUCAACUUCAGCAACAAGUCAGUGCCAGUGUCUUUUAUACGAGAAGCAGCUGAGUGAGGAGCUUGAGUCUGUGUGAGCUGAGCGAGAGUGUCUUCUGUCUGAGAAUACAGACAGCCCUCAGAAUCAUGCAGAGGAGUUGGAGAAGCUGCUCUCUACUGUGACCUCACUAACUGAAGAGAGAGACCAGGUCCUGGAGAUACUGGGGGAAGUCAGAGAGGAGAGGAACCAGCUCAAGAGAGACUUGGAGGAGAAUGUAGAAAUGAACAUCAAGAAGCUCAACUUCAGCAACAAAUACAGCAGCUAGGAGAGGAACAGGAAACCAUGACAGAGGAGAGGCGUCAGUUGAAGGGUGACCUGCAGGAAAAAUAUGGAGAUGGCUGAAGAAACCCAGGGACUUCCCUUGGAUGGAAUGGAGGAGCUCUGACAACAGAGCCAACUGAACUCUGACCUUGAGAGGCAAAGUUUACAGAAGGAGUCUAUUCUAGAACUGCAGCUAAGCAGCUGAGAGAGGAGGUUGAAUCAUUGCAAGCUGAGAGAGAGCAUCUCCUGUCUGAGAAGACCGAUAGCCCUCAGAAUCAUACAAAUUAGUUGGAGAAGCUGCUCUCCACUGUGACCUCACUGACUGAAGAGAGAGACCAGCUCCAGGAGAUGCUGGGGGGAGUCACAGAGGAGAGAAACCAGCUCAAGAGGGACCCUGAGUAGAAUGUGGAGAUGAUUAUUUGAAAACCAGGAGGAGCUGAUUCACCAUCAAGAGGAAAAUAUUAAACAUAUGGAUACUGCACAUCUGUUACAUCUAGUUGAACUGCAAAGUCAGAAGUCAACAAAUGAGAGCGCCUGGGUUAACCUCUACAUCACCCAAGGAACAGAGAAGGAGUAGGAUGAGGGUAUCCGGCAAAAGGGAAGAACAGCCGAGAGCUGCCAGUGGCACGAGCGUACCAGACAAGGCCGCGGGGCCAGAUGGAUUACCAGAACGUGUAGUACAAGCAUGCGUUAAC